AGCCCUGGUCGCUAAUUAAACAAUUGUGCAACCUGUGUUUGCCCAUGUGAGCAGUUGGAGUGAAUGGUGGGAAAUUUAAGCUUAGCAUUUUGAAUGUUUUUUAAAAAGAACAUGCCAC